rnacentral:rRNA from 1 species
CCUACGGAGUGCAGCAGUGAGGAAUAUUGGUCAAUGGGAGAGAUCCUGAACCAGCCAAGCCGCGUGAGGGACGACGGCCCUAUGGGUUGUAAACCUCUUUUGUCGGAGAACAAACCCCGGGACGUGUCCCGGACUGCGUGUAUCCGAAGAAAAAGCAUCGGCUAACUCCGUGCCAGCCGCCGCGGUAAUACGGAGGAUGCGAUCGUUAUCCGGAUUUAUUGGGUUUAAAGGGUGCGUAGGCGGUCCGUUAGGUCAGCGGUAACAUUGCGGGGCUCAACCCCGUCGAGCCGUUGAAACUGGCAGACUUGAGUUGGCGAGAAGUACGCGGAAUGCGCGGUGUAGCGGUGAAAUGCAUAGAUAUCGCGCAGAACUCCGAUUGCGAAGGCAGCGUACCGGCGCCAGACUGACGCUGAGGCACGAAAGCGUGGGGAUCGAACAGGAUUAGAUACCCCUGUAGUC